rnacentral:rRNA from 1 species
AAAGCUCGUAGUUGGGUUUCUGGGUGGGAGUGGCCGGUCCGCCGUAAGGUGUGUACUUGGUUGUCUCCCGUCAUCCUUGUGGGAACUGCUCUGGCAUUAAGUUGUCGGGGUUAGGGAACACAUCGUUUACUGUGAAAAAAUUAGAGUGUUUAAAGCAGGCUUAUGCCGUUGAAUACAUUAGCAUGGAAUAAUAAGAUAGGACUUUGGCGUCUAUUUUGUUGGUUUGCACACCAAGGUAAUGAUUAAUAGGGAUAGUUGGGGGUAUUCGUAUUUAAUUGUCAGAGGUGAAAUUCUCGGAUUUAUGAAAGACGAACUUCUGCGAAAGCAUUUACCAAAGAUGUUUUCAUUAAUCAAGAACGAAAGUUAGGGGAUCGAAGAUGAUUAGAUACCAUCGUAGUCUUAACCAUAAACUAUGCCGACUAGGGAUUGGCGGUCGUUCAUUUAUGACUCCGUCAGCACCUUAUG